UUGCUGAUGAUGAUAUCAUUUACAAAACCAUCUUUCGGGACUGAAUGGCUUUGUCACGCCUUGCUGUUAUUAUGCAAUUCCGAGGCCA
rfam:Cajanus cajan CcLG08_903, whole genome shotgun sequence.